rnacentral:rRNA from 1 species
AGAAUCAACGCUGGCGGCGUGCCUAACACAUGCAAGUCGAACGAGAAAGUGGAGCAAUCCAUGAGUAAAGUGGCGCACGGGUGAGUAACACGUGACUAACCUACCCUUGAGUGGGGAAUAACUUCGGGAACCGAGGCUAAUACCGCAUAACACCUACGGGUCAAAGGAGCAAUUCGCUUAAGGAGGGGGUCGCGGCAGAUUAGUUAGUUGGCGGGGUAAUGGCCCACCAAGACGGUGAUCUGUA